UACGUAGGGUCCGAGCGUUGUCCGGAUUUAUUGGGCGUAAAGAGCUCGUAGGCGGUUCCGUAAGUCAGAUGUGAAAACUCAGGGCUCAACCCGGAGACGCCAUCUGAUACUGCGGUGACUGGAGUCUGGUAGGGGAACACGGAAUUCCUGGUGUAGCGGUGAAAUGCGCAGAUAUCAGGAGGAACACCGAUGGCGAAGGCAGUGUUCUGGGCCAGUACUGACGCUGAGGUGCGAAAGCGUGGGGAGCAAACAGG
rnacentral:rRNA from 1 species